UAAAAGAGCAAAAUUUUACUAAAUUUAUAUAUUUUUUCUUUCUUUCACAGAGCUCUAAAUUUUCAAUAUGUUUCUCUCUUUCUCUUUUUCUGUCUCUCACCCUAAGUGGCCAAGCCGGAAGCCCUUUAAGUUACCAAGUAAUAUCAUAUACCCGCCGUUGCCUAUCUUACUAUUAAUUGUAUGCUUGAGAAAAUAUACAGAAUAUUUUUAAAGUAAAAAAUUAUUAUUCAUAUAAAAUUUUAAUUUUAGUUAUAUAUGAUUGGAUAGUUUAAUCCAAUAUUUAUCUAUAUAAUUUAUUUAUUUUUGACGGUAUAAAUGAAAAUGAAUAAUAUAGAGAUUGAAGGCGGAAGAAAAGACAUGUGAGGCUGAAAAAAUUAGAUAUUCAACUCAUAAAUUAUUUUUUUUCAUAUUAUAAUACUAUAUUUCAUAUAAUUAUUUUGUACUUUGAACUAUUAGAUAUAUUUUUGUAUCAAAUUAUAGAUAAUGUUUUAUACAAAUUAAACUAUUGAUUGUAUAAUAUUGAGAGUUUCAAGCGGCUCAUUUAGGGCUCGAGCUCGCUCGACUCGAAAUUAGGCUCGCUCGAGCUCGGCUCGAAUUAAUUUCAAUCCAAGCUUGAGCUUAAAUUUAA
rnacentral:lncRNA from 1 species